UUACGGGAGGCAGCAGUGGGGAAUAUUGCACAAUGGGGGAAACCCUGAUGCAGCAACGCCGCGUGAGUGAUGAAGGCCUUCGGGUUGUAAAGCUCUGUCUUUGGGGACGAUAAUGACGGUACCCAAGGAGGAAGCCACGGCUAACUACGUGCCAGCAGCCGCGGUAAUACGUAGGUGGCAAGCGUUGUCCGGAUUUACUGGGCGUAAAGGAUGCGUAGGCGGAUAUUUAAGUGAGAUGUGAAAUACCCGGGCUCAACUUGGGUGCUGCAUUUCAAACUGGAUAUCUAGAGUGCAGGAGAGGAAAGUGGAAUUCCUAGUGUAGCGGUGAAAUGCGUAGAGAUUAGGAAGAACAUCAGUGGCGAAGGCGACUUUCUGGACUGUAACUGACGCUGAGGCAUGAAAGCGUGGGGAGCAAACAGGAUUAGAUACCCGAGUAC
rnacentral:rRNA from 1 species